CCUACGGGUGGCAGCUGUAGGGAAUAUUGCUCAAUGGGGGAAACCCUGACGCAGCAACGCCGCGUGGAGGAUGAAGGUUUUCGGAUUGUAAACUCCUUUUGUUAGAGAAGAUAAUGACGGUAUCUAACGAAUAAGCACCGGCUAACUCCGCGCCAGCAGCCGCGGUAAUACGGAGGGUGCAAGCGUUACUAGCAAUCACUGGGCGUAAAGAGCGCGUAGGCGGGAUAGCAAGUCAGAUGUGAAAUCCUCUGGCUUAACACUAGAACUGCAUUUGAAAAUGUUAUUCUAGAGUAUGGGAGAGGAAGAGGGAAUGCUUGGUGUAGGGGUAAAAUGCGUAGAGAUAAGGAGGAAUACUAGUGGCGAAGGCGAUCGGCUGGAAAAUAACUGACGGUGAGGCGCGAAAGCGUGGGGAGCAAACAGGAUUAGAUACCCUAGUAGUC
rnacentral:rRNA from 1 species